CCUACGGGAGGCAGCAGUGGGGAAUAUUGGACAAUGGGGGCAACCCUGAUCCAGCCAUGCCGCGUGUGUGAAGAAGGCCCUCGGGUUGUAAAGCACUUUCAGUGAGGAAGAACGCCUGGUGGUUAAUACCCAUCAGGAAAGACAUCACUCACAGAAGAAGCACCGGCUAACUCCGUGCCAGCAGCCGCGGUAAUACGGAGGGUGCGAGCGUUAAUCGGAAUUACUGGGCGUAAAGCGCGCGUAGGUGGCUUGAUAAGCCGGUUGUGAAAGCCCCGGGCUCAACCUGGGAACGGCAUCCGGAACUGUCAAGCUAGAGUGCAGGAGAGGAAGGUAGAAUUCCCGGUGUAGCGGUGAAAUGCGUAGAGAUCGGGAGGAAUACCAGUGGCGAAGGCGGCCUUCUGGACUGACACUGACACUGAGGUGCGAAAGCGUGGGUAGCAAACAGGAUUAGAACCCGAGUAGUC
rnacentral:rRNA from 1 species